GACGAACGCUGGCGGCGUGCUUAACACAUGCAAGUCGAACGGAAAGGCCCUGCUUCUGUGGGGUGCUCGAGUGGCGAACGGAUGAGUAACACGUGAGUAACCUGCCCUUGACUUUGGGAUAACUUCAGGAAACUGGGGCUAAUAACGGAUAGGAGCUCCUGCUGCACGGUGGGGGGUGGAAAGUUUCGGCGGUUGGGGAUGGGCGCGCGGCUUAUCAGCUUGUUGGUGGGGUAGUGGCUCACCAAGGGUUUGACGGGUAGCCGGCCUGAGAGGGUGACCGGCCACAUUGGGACUGAGAUACGGCCCAGACUCCUACGGGGGGCAGCAGUGGGGAAUAUUGCACAGUGGGCGGAAGCCUGAGGCAGCAACGCCGCGUGCGGGAUGACGGCCUUCGGGUUGUAAACCGCUUUCACCUGUGACGAAGCGUGAGUGACGGUAAUGGGUAAAGAAGCACCGGCUAACUACGUG
rnacentral:rRNA from 1 species